UGUAGGGUGUUUACAUCCAUAUUUUGUCUACUUAAUGGAGAUUGGUGGCAUAUAGCAUAGAUAAGUGAAAAUGGAGAAUAUAGUGCAUUUAGUUUAGUACCACUACUUGAGUCCAAUUUAUGUUCUUGUCAAUGGAUGUAUUGAUAUAGGAGCAAGUAUAUUCUUAACAAAUCAACCAACACCCGGUGCAUUUUCUGAAUUAUUGGUUGCACCACCAUUCUUUCUGGAAUAAUAUCUCGAAAAUCCCUGGAGCUAUAUGGUUGAAAUGGCCAAAAUUGAAUCGCUAUACCACAUAAGCAGCUUGGAGGCCAUGGACUUUCUGAAUGAGUUUGUCCAUGAACCCAGAACCCAGGUAUUUCCAAAUCAUUCAUGAUGAGAAGUAUUCUUGACUUCUUGUUACUGAGCCAACCGAGAGUAAUAGUUGACUAGUAGAACCACACCACCUCUAAUUCAUACACACCGAAGGGUAUUUAUUCGUUUCUUUAUGUUGUAUUCUUUUAAGCUUUGAGUAAUAUCUCUUGCAGUGGCCGCGUUAAACUUCAUGAUUUUUUAAGGGUUCUGCAACUAAAGCCUUGUACACUUUCGGAAGAGAUUUUUGGGUUCCUUGAUGUGGAGAAGAAUGGAUCAAUUACAUUUAAGCAGUUCUUAUUUGGAUCAGCUCAUGUUCUGAACCAGCUUCUCUUCCUUCAGGCAGGCAUGUGAACUAGCCUUUGCUGAAUGUGAUGAGGAUGGAUAUAACUACUGUACAAAGAAAGAAUUCGCAGAUAUUCUUAGACGCAAAUUUCCAGACCCGAAUGAUGGCGAGGUUCAUGGACUGUUUGGUCUAUUCGAUACAGACACUGACGGGAGAAUGAGCAGAGAUGAUUUCCUGAGGAAGAACCCUUUGUUGAUAGCAGUUUUCUCACCCAGAUUACUGCGUAAAAAAUUGUCAAAAGCUCGUGAUAAGAUGCUGGAGGAAAUUGUUUGAUGAGUGGACGUGCCAUGGAUAAGAUAUCCGUGUACUGUGUUUUUUUGCCGUGUUAACUGAUUGUGGUGGGAAAGGAUUUUGGUCAUGGGACUACUAUUACGGCCGGCGGCUAUGUACUUUGCUCACACACCAUCUAUUGAUUUUUAUCAACUUUCCUCUUUUUCUUAUUAGAAACGUGAUUUGAAGGCAGUUACGUUACGUAGAUAGGAAAUUCCCGAUUUCAUACCUCACGCAAAAUGUGUAUGAAUUGGAGUUUAGACAGGAUAGAUUAACGAUAAGAUGUUGAAAGGCACAAAGUCGAAAUCGGCAUUAUUGAUUGCGUGAACAUUGUGCUUAGUUU